CUGAGUUACCACUCUUCAACCCUUUGUGAAUUUUACUUUGUUGCUUCGGCAGGUUUUCCCUGGGAGGGAAUUUAGCCGCAAGGUAACUUGCCAGAGGCCUUUUACUCUUGAUUUCAGUGGAAUUCUGAAAAAACUUUUAAAAAAUUA
rnacentral:misc_RNA from 1 species